CAGGCUCGGUGAAAUCUUAGUACCUGUGAAAAUGCAGGUUACCCGCAACUAGACGGAAAGACCCCAUGGAGCUUUACUGUAGCCUGGUAUUGGAUUUUGGUCAGACAUGUACAGAAUAGGUGGGAGACUGUGAGACGUGCACGCCAGUGUACGAGGAGUCGCCGUUGGGAUACCACUCUUGUGUGAUCGGAGUUCUAACCUGGUGGCCUGAACCGGCCAUAGGGAGAGU
rnacentral:rRNA from 1 species